CCUACGGGGGGCAGCAGUGGGGGAUAUUGCACAAUGGGGGAAACCCUGAUGCAGCGACGCCGCGUGGGCGAAGAAGUAUUUCGGUAUGUAAAGCCCUAUCAGCAGGGAAGAAGAAAUGACGGUACCUGAGUAAGAAGCACCGGCUAAAUACGUGCCAGCAGCCGCGGUAAUACGUAUGGUGCAAGCGUUAUCCGGAUUUACUGGGUGUAAAGGGAGCGCAGGCGGCACGGCAAGCCUGAUGUGAAAGCCCGCGGCCCAACCGCGGGACUGCAUUGGGAACUACCGGGCUGGAGUGCCGGAGAGGG
rnacentral:rRNA from 1 species